rnacentral:rRNA from 1 species
GGACGAACGCUGGCGGCGUGCUUAACACAUGCAAGUCGAACGGAAAGGCCCCUUUCGGGGGGUACUCGAGUGGCGAACGGGUGAGUAACACGUGAGUAACCUGCCCUUGACUUUGGGAUAACUUCAGGAAACUGGGGCUAAUACCGGAUAGGAGCUCCUGCUGCAUGGUGGGGGUUGGAAAGUUUCGGCGGUUGGGGAUGGACUCGCGGCUUAUCAGCUUGUUGGUGGGGUAGUGGCUUACCAAGGCUUUGACGGGUAGCCGGCCUGAGAGGGUGACCGGCCACAUUGGGACUGAGAUACGGCCCAGACUCCUACGGGAGGCAGCAGUGGGGAAUAUUGCACAAUGGGUGGAAGCCUGAUGCAGCAACGCCGUGUGCGGGAUGACGGCCUUCGGGUUGUAAACCGCUUUCGCUCAUGACGAAGCUUUGUGUGACGGUAGUGGGUAAAGAAGCACCGGCUAACUACGUG